UACAGAGGGUGCAAGCGUUGUUCGGAAUUACUGGGCGUAAAGGGCGCGUAGGCGGCCUGUUAAGUCGAACGUGAAAUCCCUGGGCUCAACCCAGGAACUGCGUCCGAUACUGGCAGGCUUGAAUUCGGGAGAGGGAUGCGGAAUUCCAGGUGUAGCGGUGAAAUGCGUAGAUAUCUGGAGGAACACCGGUGGCGAAGGCGGCAUCCUGGACCGAUAUUGACGCUGAGGCGCGAAAGCCAGGGGAGCAAACGGG
rnacentral:rRNA from 1 species